rnacentral:lncRNA from 1 species
AAAAUAUGAGGUGUGUUUCCCGCGCUUUUACUGGGGCGAAGAGGGACGUCAGAAACUGAAUGUCUUGAAGAUAUACUUGAGGAAUCCUUCGGCAAUUCCUGGCUGUCCGAUAUGUGCUGACUGGCUGAGCCGUUUUCACAAGCAGAAAUCUUGUUGCUUCGAUGAGAGUUGCUUUUCAUGUGGCCAGCGCUGCCAUUUGCACACCUGUUGGGGAAUUAAACUUUCAAGAACGUUCAUUUUGAAGUGUUGAUGGCAUGGUUAAGCUCUGGUCAGACGAGAAUGAGAGUUGAGAAGCGCGAGUUUGCAUGAGAGUUUUCUCAACUCUCGUGCCCCGCAGUCAAACGAGAACAAGAGUUGCAUGAGAGUUGAUGAGAGUUGAGAAGCGAGAGUUUGCAUGAGAGUUGAUGAGAGUUGAGAAGCGAGAGUUUGCAUGAGAGUUUUCUCAACUCUCGUGCGCCCCCGCAGUCAAACGAGAACAAAAGUCGCAUGAGAGUUGAUGAAAGUUGAGAAGCGAGAGUUUGCAAUGAGGGUUUUCUCAACUCUCAUGCCCCGGUCAGACGAGAACAAGAGUAAGAGUUGUAUGAGAGUCGAUGAGAGUUGACUGGAUAUUAACACGAUAACGAAAACUCUUAUCAAGUCUCAAAAAAUUUGAACAAGUUCAAAGUCCUUGCAUGCAUGACCG